rnacentral:tRNA from 1 species
GAGAGUAUAGCUCAGUGGUAGAGCACAUGCUUAGCAUGCACGAGGUCCUGGGUUCAAUCCCCAGUGCCUCCA